ensembl:lncRNA
CCAGGCCCAGGCUCUCUGUCUCUGCAUUCAUACAGAAAUGGUUUCCCUGCCUUGUGGGACUGCCUGUGCUCUCAAGCCAAGAAAGCGCUAGCUAGCUCCUUUCUAAGAGGGCAUCACAGAUGAUCCUGCACGAGACAUCUUACCUGAGGUCAGGAAGCCAGUUUCAGGCUUAAAUCAUCCCAGUGUGGAAACUGCGGUUGAAAGAGAACACCUCAUUCUCAGAACCUCCCAGGAAGGCGCGGGACGGCUGCUGUGGGCCUCUGACUGACCCAUGUUGUUAUACACUGCCCUGAGCCAAUCGCCUAGAAGAAAUGACAUCUCAGUAGCAAAGAACACUUCUAGCAACUAGAUCUUGGUUUCCAAUACUAUGUUUUUUUAAAAAAAGAAAUCAGGCAUCUCUGGAUUAGUUACCAGCUCCAGGAGAUGGUCAGUGAAGACACAACAGGAACCUGAGAUCAGGGAAGCGCCAGACAGGAACAAAGUGGUCAGCACACACACGGACGGAAGUCAGCAAAGGGACAAAGGCACCGACUGUACGAGCUGCUAAGAGCAAACAGGGGACUGUCUCAGCACUAAAAUACAGCAGUAAGGUUCAGAACCCAGAGUACAAAACAUGCAUCGUGAGCCUGUCCUGUUAUAAAUUGCUGACUGAGGGAAUGAAUGAACAAAAAAAUGAAUAGCUAAGAGAGAAGAGAUAAAUGUGCUGUGCAG